AGUGAACGCUGGCGGCAGGCCUGACACAUGCAAGUCGAGCGGCAGCGCGGGGGCAACCCUGGCGGCGAGCGGCGGACGGGUGAGGAAUUCGUCGGAAUCUGCCUUUUUGUGGGGGAUAACGUAGGGAAACUUACGCUAAUACCGCAUACGUCCUACGGGAGAAAGUGGGGGACCGCAAGGCCUCACGCAGAAAGAUGAGCCGACGACCGAUUAGCUAGUUGGUGGGGUAAAGGCCCACCAAGGCGACGAUCGGUAGCUGGUCUGAGAGGAUGAUCAGCCACACUGGGACUGAGACACGGCCCAGACUCCUACGGGAGGCAGCAGUGGGGAAUAUUGGACAAUGGGCGCAAGCCUGAUCCAGCCAUGCCGCGUGUGUGAAGAAGGCCUUCGGGUUGUAAAGCACUUUUGUCCGGAAAGAAAUCCCUGGAGCUAAUACCUUCGGGGGAUGACGGUACCGGAAGAAUAAGCACCGGCUAACUUCGUG
rnacentral:rRNA from 1 species